CUCCCCGUCCAGCGCCGCCACUUCCCCCGUACCGGCCGUCCAGUUCCGAUCGGCCGCCCCCCCUAGCCGUCGAGCGCCGCCCACAUCGCCGUCGAGCGCCACCCCCCUCUCCGUCGAGCGCCACCCCAACUCGCCGGCGACGUCCAGAUCCGCCUCCCUGGCCGGCGAUUUCCAGAUCCGCCUCCCUCCCUGUGCAGAGUGGCUCAUGAUCAUUUAUUCAGACCAAAAGCGUGUUGGUAAGUUGCAUUCAGUUUCAUUUGACCUCCCAGUAUGGGUAGUUUGUUGAAAAAACAUGUUCCCUUAUGUAGGGAAAGAUGUAUGGCCCUGCAGAAUGAGUUAGAAAUUAUGCUUCUAUAUAAUAUGGUGGAUUAUGGAUCACUAAUGUAAUUUGUGUUCUCAGAUAUUUCUUUUGGAGGUCAAGUAACUAUGGAUCUAUCUUUUUGGAGGUCAAGUAACUAUGGAAGGAUGACCAUGGGGAGGGAUUGCUGCUUGUAAGCAGGAAGCUUGCUGCUGAACUCUGUCAACACCCGCUGCUGAUCGUCUCUUGCAUCUACAUGUUCCUGUUCUUCUCCAUCUUCAAAGCCACGUCUUAGACUGCUGCAACACCAAGCUCCAGAAGCCAAAUUUAUGUUCUGUACUCCAUUAUCUCACCUCUUCCCUCGCUGAUUUCUUGAACCCCUUGCUUGUUCAGUUAGUGUGAUGUAUGUUCCUGUAUGCUGCCAAUUGAGAUGAUCUAGUUCUAGUUUUAUCACCUUAGUAUUUCAAUUAUUUGCUAUAUCGAGUUUUGUCCGAGUUUUGAGUGUUGGUUGUUUGUUAGAAGAGCAUCUUCUCUUAUGUAGGAAAAGAAGAAUGGCCUAUGGCAGCAACAAAGAUGAACACGCAGACUAAGGCAUAGCCUAGUGGUGGGAAGGGGCUGAUGCCUUCCCACCCACCCAGGUUCAAGGCAUGGUACUUGCAAUUUGGGUUUGUUGCACCAAUUAUACUGUAGGGGUUCCUUUACAGUCUUUCUGUCAAAAAAAAACAAAGAUGAACACUUGCAAGUUCAUGAAGUUGGAAGUUUGCAAAUGUGGUUGAGAGUGGAGAUUGUGGCCCCAUCAAUAAUAUAAUGUUCAAAAGUGUCUUGUAAGUUCCUGCACCUUUGCUCUGUAUUCAAAACUACGACAAAUGUUAAUCUAAAAUGUAACAUUUUUGUUUUUCAAUAAAUUGUUUGUUCCAUUAUCAGUACAGUUGAAUUAUAGUGAUGGCAUCCUUUGCAUUUCUCUUGAACUUGUGUACACAAACAUAGAAGUAGAAUAGCAAAAAGUUGUCAGUGCAUUAGCUUCACCCUGCUGCUCCAAUAACACUUAUACUACACUAUGUAUAUACCUCUAAACUUGCAUUUAUGAGUAUGCCCCCAGUUAUUCUAAUUUUCUUCACAAAUACAGCUUCUGAGUAGAAGUCGUUGUAGAUACUUGGGGCCACCGUUCUCCUCACCAGACCCUUGGGUGGGCGAAGGCCCUCAAGCACCUCCACUUGAACUUCUGCCUCUACUUGGCAAUAAGAGAAGUCUUCUUCACUUGCUUGGUGGCUAGCAACAAGUGUGUCAUGAGCUGGAGCUUACCUUUUGGUUUGAAAACCUGUAUGUAUCACAGUUUUGCCUUUCACCGUUGUUCAUUGAAAUCUCCUAUAUUUUUCUGUUGUAUAGGUGAAUGGAACCUUCCAAGCCCAAGGGAAUGCUGAUACUCCGUUGGCAGAAUGUUCCCAUGAUGAAGACAAUCCUCAUGCUACUCAUGCGGAUGAGCAUAGUUCUAUUCCAACACAGGACAAACAUUUAGGAAUUCCAGUACUAUAACUAGUGGUUAAUAUUGUGAACUACAGUGCAGUUAGGCUUUCUUUGUCAAUUGCUUCUCCUGGCAAUUUAGGAAUCAACUAGUAUAUGCGUGUUUUGGACUUGGUGACACCUCCUGUUAAGUCGAGCUUCCAUGAAUCAUGACUUGGAUAUGAUAUGAAUGUGUGGAUCUUGUGAACAAUGAGAUUUAAAUAAAUUUGAUGGGUACAUUGUGACCUAGGAAUUGGUUGUGAUUU